GUGCCAGCAGCCGCGGUAACACGUAGGCACCAAGCGUUGUCCGGAUUUAUUGGGCGUAAAGAGCUCGUAGGCGGUUCGGUAAGUCAGGUGUGAAACCUUUGGGCUCAACCCAAAGCCUGCAUCUGAUACUGCUGUGACUAGAGUUCGGUAGGGGAGCGGGGAAUUCCUAGUGUAGCGGUGAAAUGCGCAGAUAUUAGGAGGAACACCGGUGGCGAAGGCGCCGCUCUGGGCCGAAACUGACGCUGAGGAGCGAAAGCGUGGGUAGCAAACAGGAUUAGAAACCCCAGUAGUCC
rnacentral:rRNA from 1 species